ACGCGAAGAACCUUACCAAGGCUUGACAUAUAGCGAAAAGUGGCAGAGAUGUCAUGUCCGCAAGGGCGCUAUACAGGUGGUGCAUGGUUGUCGUCACCUCGUGUCGUGAGAUGUUGGGUUAAGUCCCGCAACGAGCGCAACCCUCGUUCUGUGUUACCAGCAUUAAGUUGGGGACUCACAGGAGACUGCCGGGGUCAACUCGGAGGAAGGUGGGGAUGACGUCAAAUCAUCAUGCCCCUUAUGUCUUGGGCUUCACGCAUGCUACAAUGGCCGGUACAAAGGGGUGCGAGAUCGUAAGAUUGAGCGAAUCCCAUAAAACCGGUUUCAGUUCGGAUUGAGGUUUGCAACUCGACCUCCUGGAGUUGGGAAUG
rnacentral:rRNA from 1 species